rnacentral:rRNA from 1 species
GACAGAGGUGCCGAGCGUUAGGCGGAAUCACUGGGCUUAAAGCGUGUGUAGGCGGAUCGUUAAGUACCUUGUGAAAUCCCACGGCUUAACCGUGGAACUGCUUGGUAUACUGGCGAUCUUGAGCCACCUAGGGGCAACUGGAAUUCUCGGUGUAGCGGUGAAAUGCGCAGAUAUCAGGAGGAACACCGAUGGCGAAGGCAGGUCUCUGGGCCACUACUGACGCUGAGAAGCGAAAGCAUGGGGAGCGAACAGG